rnacentral:rRNA from 1 species
GAUGAACGCUAGCUACAGGCUUAACACAUGCAAGUCGCGGGGCAGCAUGGGGGUUGCUUGCCAUCCCCGAUGGCGACCGGCGCACGGGUGAGUAACGCGUAUCCAACCUGCCCUUCACCACGGGAUAACCCGGCGAAAGUCGGACUAAUACCGUAUGUUGUCCAUUGACGGCAUCCGAUUUGGACGAAAGGCUUGGCGGUGAGGGAUGGGGAUGCGUCCGAUUAGCCAGACGGCGGGGUAACGGCCCACCGUGGCUACGAUCGGUAGGGGUUCUGAGAGGAAGGUCCCCCACACUGGAACUGAGACACGGUCCAGACUCCUACGGGAGGCAGCAGUGAGGAAUAUUGGUCAAUGGGCGUAAGCCUGAACCAGCCAAGUAGCGUGCAGGAGGACGGCCCUAUGGGUUGUAAACUGCUUUUAUGCGGGGAUAAAGUGGCCCACGUGUGGGCUUUUGCAGGUACCGCAUGAAUAAGGACCGGCUAAUUCCGUG